UGUCCUGAAGGCAUACUCAACUAAAAAAUAUGCUCAUCAAUAAUAAGUAUCUCCCUUAUCAUGCUGUUUAUUUACUAAAGCUUUGGAGUUAAAAUGAGAGAGGAAAAGGGGGCAGGAAAUCAAGAAAUCUAAAGGAUGCAAGCAGGCCCACAGCCAAGCCAUUGAGAGACAAGCCCUUGGGAAACAAAUUAGCUCACGUACCUCAAGUGCUCCUGGAGCUUUCCCACAGUACCUCUUGGCCAGUGCUUCGACAAGAAAUGUAUUGGCAAGAAGACCGUGGUUGGGGAGAGAAGUCCCAGAGAUGGGCAAGCCAGGGAUAGUGACACAAAGAUAAGUAGGACCCUAUCCCUAUCUUUGGAGUGUAAGAAGAAAUGGCAAUUUGAAGAGAUACAAUUGGAAGGAUAUCAUAUGUGUUUGGUGUUUGAGUUGACACACAAUGUUCAUUAGUUUCAAGUGUACAACAAGAGAAGAUUUUUAUGCUGCAUAUAUUCAUUAUGUCAAAAAGUCAUUAGUGUUGAAUUUAUAGAUAAUAAUGUGCCCUGGGUUUUUCAAAACUCCUUAGCUGGAAACUGUACAAAAAUUAGUCUCUAAUAGCAGCUGAAGAGUUUCAAUUUGAGUAAAAACUGAACACUUAACUUCUAAUUCAUUGUUAUAACUUGAGAACCAUUUUAAUGUUCAAUCUCCAGUUUUGUUAUUUCAGCAUUUGUGGGUCACUGGAUUUCUUAAAACAUUAAAGCAGGUCUCUUGUUAUUUUUACUAAUUAUGAUUUAAUACAAUUGGCAAACUACAAAGUCUAGUUCAGCAUAUCUAAAAUUAGGUGACCCUCUCCCACUGAUUUUAAUAAAUGUGCCAAAUUUUUCUCUGAAGCUUAUGGAUAAAUAUUGAAGCAUGAUUUCAAAAAGAGUCAUCUAACAAUCACCUCUUGGGAAGAAUUUUGUUUGAACAUCCUGUUUUUUCAUAUGGUAUAUAUUAUAGAACUUGAAAGCAGUAUUAUAAUGACUAUUACCUCUUUCAACCAAGGGAAGUAGUUAUAUAAUAAGAACAUCAGGUUUUAAAGAAAAAGUCCUGAAGCACUUAAAUAAAACAAAUUUUCAAUAAUCUUUGCAACUUUACCCUACACAGAAUUAUUUUACAGGGGGACUGAAAUAAAGUCAAAACAAACAUUUUUAUAAUCAUAUAUGUAAUAUCAAUUCCUCUUUUAUUUCUACAAAUUGAACUAUUUAGUCAUUAUGACGUUUAUUACCUAAGGAUUGAUGAGAGAAAAUCGGGUUCAAUCAUUUUAGACCUUUUACUAUACAUAGUAAUGAUACGAAUAACUUGAUAAAAUUAAUAGCUGUUUGAGUAUAAUUGAUUACAUUCAAUCAGUGUUUCACAAUUUUCAAAAACUUACAUAUGCAUACGUCAUUUUACCUUUACAACUACCACAAGGAAGAUAAGAAAGAAGUUAACAUUUUUGUUUUACUCGUGGCCAGAGAAUUAAGCAACCUGGCAAAGAUCAUAAACAAGUUAUAGAUUUGGGAGUAGGACUACUUCUGUUUAUUCUGAUAAAUAAGAUCAAUCCCAUUAGUCUUUGUCAAAAGAAUACCUAGAGAACUAUGCAAAAAUACAUGAGGUCAUUUUCUAAACAAAUAGUAGUUCUGUCACAUUUGUCUUCAAACAAUAUUCUCAGUUUAUCUCAUUAUGCUGAUUUCAUUGUUAUUGUCUCGUUAUGAGACAAAGUCAUCUUUCAGUUGAGCUCCUCACAACUUAUUUUUAUGUAAAACCCAAAGAGGUUCAAAUUAGUUCAGGCUGAGUUAGAUGUUAUCAUACCUAUAUAUUUAACAUUAUAAGAAACUACCAAAUUAUUUUUCCUAAGCGUUUAUACUAUUUUGUAAUCUCAUCAGCAAUGUAUGAAAAAUCCAGUUGUUUCACAUUCUUACUCACACAUGUUGUUGUCAAUUUUUAAGAUUUUAGUCAUUUUAGUAGAUUUUAAUUAUCUUACUUACGUUUUGAUUUGCAUUUCUCAGAUGAGUAAUGAUGUUGAAUAUAUUUUCAUGCCCGUAUUUGUCACUUGUGAAUUAUCUUUUCUGAAUUGUCUUUUAAAAUUUUUUGUACAUUGUUGAAAAACUGGGUUUGUUUCCUCACUGAAUCACUGACUUUUAAGGACUCUUUAUAUAUUAUUGAUACAAGUGCUUUGUCAAAUAUAUUUGACAAAUACUGAAGAUAUCACCAUUUAUGACUUGUCUUUUCAUUUUGUAACAGCAUCUUAUAGAGGGCAGAGGUCUUCAGUUUUGCUUAAUUCUAAUGUAUCUUUUUUUUAUUGUUGUCUUCUUUUAUGGUUUUGCUUUUUAUGUCCUUCCUAAGAAAUGUUUAGCAGAUUUGACAACAAAGCAAAACCUCUAAAUACUAUGUAAUACUUAAAUUGCCAAAUAUUUGAGCUUGAAUUUCUUGGUAUAGAUUAAAAGAAAGAAGAUAUGUACAGUAGCAACUGUUUAAUCUGGUAACAAGUUAAUCCUUUCUUUGUUUCUUCCCGAGUAAAACCAUUUUCACA